GAACGAAUGACAGUUGUGCAGAGGGUUAAGGGGUGUGGUUACAACGUGACAAUAAGAGAAAGACCCGGUAAAGAAGGAUUGAACGUUGUGUGGGCUUUCCAUGUAUGAAUACUACUGGCAGUGUUACAGUGUGCUGAUAUGUGCUUUGUAAACAGCAGGCCAAGUGGUCCAUUAGAAAAGGGCUGGAUAGAUUAUCAAACAAUGAGGGAAGCGAGGUAGAGCUCGGGAUGACGGCGUAAUGAUUAGCUGUCUUCAAGUAGAAGAUCCGGACAACCAUAAGGGCGUGCGAUUUUUUUUCCGAUGCAAUGCAUGGGCGCCACGACCGACCUCAACCUUCGGAUUUCACAGUACUGUAGUAUUCAUAGAAGUCUACUUUUU
rnacentral:lncRNA from 1 species